rnacentral:rRNA from 1 species
CACGUAGGGGGCAAGCGUUGUCCGGAUUUAUUGGGCGUAAAGAGCUCGUAGGUGGUUCGGUAAGUCGGGUGUUAAACCCCCAGGCUCAACCUGGGGACGCCACUCGAUACUGCUGUGACUAGAGUCCGGUAGGGGAGCGUGGAAUUCCUGGUGUAGCGGUGAAAUGCGUAGAUAUCAGGAGGAACACCGGUGGCGAAGGCGGCAUCCUGGACCGGUAUUGACGCUGAGGCGCGAAAGCCAGGGGAGCAAACGGG